GAUGAACGCUGGCGGCGUGCCUAACACAUGCAAGUCGAACGAAGCACCUUACCUGAUUCUUCGGAUGAAAGUUUGGUGACUGAGUGGCGGGCGGGUGAGUAACGCGUGGGUAACCUGCCCUGUACAGGGGGAUAACAGCUGGAAACGGCUGCUAAUACCGCAUACGCGCACGAGGAGACAUCUCCUUGUGUGAAAAACUCCGGUGGUACAGGAUGGGCCCGCGUCUGAUUAGCUGGCUGGCAGGGUAACGGCCUACCAAGGCAACGAUCAGUAGCCGGUCUGAGAGGAUGAACGGCCACAUUGGAACUGAGACACGGUCCAAACUCCUACGGGAGGCAGCAGUGGGGAAUAUUGCACAAUGGGGGAAACCCUGAUGCAGCAACGCCGCGUGAGUGAAGAAGUAUUUCGGUAUGUAAAGCUCUAUCAGCAGGGAAGAUAAUGACGGUACCUGACUAAGAAGCUCCGGCUAAAUACGUG
rnacentral:rRNA from 1 species